rnacentral:lncRNA from 1 species
CUUGUUCCACUGCUACGCCAAUUUAUCUCUCUGUGUAACCAAUUGGACCUGUUGUUACAUGGAGUCUCUGAUGCUAGCUUCCGAACCAAUGUUAUAAGUAGAUGUUACGAUUCCUUAUAUUCUUUAUCAUCGAAGUUUCCUUCCACAAUUCCUCCCUAUUCCAACUCAACUUUCCUAUACUAAUCUCAACUCAACUUUCCUAAUAAUCAUGAGUUUUGUUGCCACAUCUAACCUAGAUUUUACAAUACCAAGGGUUGCCUGAAUCGGAACUGGAAUAAUCCUACUGGCAUGGAUGGAAGGAUUUGAGUUGUGAUUGUAGAGAAACAGAGGGCAAAGUUCACAUCUUUUUCUUUACUCUUGAUUGAAUUUCAUAGAUUGAUGACUUUCCAUGUUGCUGUUUGAGGUUGAAACAAGUUGGUUUUAAUAUUUUCUCAUCCUGUUAUUGUCUUUGAAACUGUGCGUGCAUG